rnacentral:rRNA from 1 species
UGGGCGUAAGGGCUCGCAGGCGGUUUCUUAAGUCUGAUGUGAAAGCCCCCGGCUCAACCGGGGAGGGUCAUUGGAAACUGGGGAACUUGAGUGCAGAAGAGGAGAGUGGAAUUCCACGUGUAGCGGUGAAAUGCGUAGAGAUGUGGAGGAACACCAGUGGCGAAGGCGACUCUCUGGUCUGUAACUGACGCUGAGGAGCGAAAGCGUGGGGAGCGAACAGGAUUAGAUACCCUGGUAGUCCACGCCGUAAACGAUGAGUGCUAAGUGUUAGGGGGUUUCCGCCCCUUAGUGCUGCAGCUAACGCAUUAAGCACUCCGCCUGGGGAGUACGGUCGCAAGACUGAAACUCAAAGGAAUUGACGGGGGCCCGCACAAGCGGUGGAGCAUGUGGUUUAAUUCGAAGCAACGCGAAGAACCUUACCAGGUCUUGACAUCCUCUGACAAUCCUAGAGAUAGGACGUCCCCUUCGGGGGCAGAGUGACAGGUGGUGCAUGGUUGUCGUCAGCUCGUGUCGUGAGAUGUUGGGUUAAGUCCCGCAACGAGCGCCACCCUUGAUCUUAGUUGCCAGCAUUCAGUUGGGCACUCUCAGGUGACUGCCGGUGACAAACC